GCCUCAUGCAUGCUAUGCACGUGUUUAUCACUGAGUAUUCCCAGCCCCUAUUUUUAUAAUUUGAUUCUGCCUCCUGCUCACCCCCAACCACUGAGAAAGGCACAGGUUGGAGGAAGAGAAGGAAAUCAUGCCAUCCUCCCCUACCCACCUUACUUACUAGGUAGGGAUGUAGACCUGUUUCAGUUUGCUAUCUGCUUCAGCAGCUUUCAAUCUUUUCUGGAAGAAGGGAAAGAAGAGAAGAUUCAGAGGCUCUCAGCAGGGAAGAUGCCAUCAACUUCAAAGGCAGAGGUCUGCAGAUCCCCACAAAGCCCCGCCAGCCCAACUACCCACCAACUUCUGCUCACCAGAGUGAUGUCUCGGGAAGCGGCAGCUGCACUCAUGUGCAGGCUUGGCUGCCGAAUGGAGCUGCUGCAAUCUAGGGCUCUUGCAAAGGUCCCCACAGCUCUAAGGGAGAUAUUGAGAAGUCAAAGAGAAAAGAAGGUGCAAACAGACUGAGGAAUUAAGCCAUAGGAGAAAAAGAAAAAUAGCCAUACCAAAAAACAAAUAAAGCCCAUCUCUAAGAAUGGGUAGGGCUCAGAACUAUGGCCACACCUCCCCCAGCCCAUCUUCCCCAUCCACCCACCCCUCACCGGGCCACCACGAGAAAUUGAUCAAUCUGCCGGUCUGUGAGAGGAUUGUCUGGGUCCCAGACCUUCAUCUCCAUCUUCUGUUGGUUCCGAUUAUCCAAUUCUCCUGGAGAACAAACAAUGGCAUCAUCAGGGAGAAGGAA